UACCAGCUCUCCGAGUGGUAGGGAUGAUUAUUGGGCUUAAAGCGUCCGUAGCCGGCUUAGCAAGUCUCCUGUUAAAUUCAGCGACCUAAUCGUUGAGCCGCGGGAGAUACUACUAGGCUAGGAGGCGGGAGAGGUCGACGGUACUUCUGGGGUAGGGGUGAAAUCCUAUAAUCCCGGGAGGACCACCAGUGGCGAAGGCUGUCGACUAGAACGCGCUCGACGGUGAGGGACGAAAGCUGGAGGAGCGAACCGGAUUAGAUACCCGGGUAGUCCCAGCUGUAAACGAUGCGGGCUAGGUGUUGGGGUGGCUACGUGCCACUUCAGUGCCGCAGGGAAGCCAUUAAGCCCGCCGCCUGGGGAGUACGGCCGCAAGGCUGAAACUUAAAGGAAUUGGCGGGGGAGCACCACAAGGCGUGAAGCUUGCGGUUC
rnacentral:rRNA from 1 species